rnacentral:misc_RNA from 1 species
GAUGAAGAACGUAGCGAAAUGCGAUAAUUAAUGUGAAUUGCAGAAUUUAGUGAAUCAUCGAAUCUUUGAACGCACAUUGCGCCCCUUGGUAUUCCGGGGGGCAUGCCUGUUCGAGCGUCAUUUCAACCCUCAAGCUCUGCUUGGUCUUGGGUCGCGCCGGCGACGGCGGGCCUCAAAAACAGUGGCGGCGCCAUCUGGUUCCUCAGCGUAGUAAUUCUUCUCGCUGUUGGGCCCGGGUGGCCGCUGGCCAGCAACCCCAAAUUUUCUAUGGUUGACCUCGGAUCAGGUAGGGAUACCCGCUGAACUUAAGCAUAUCAAUAAGCGGAGGA